GAUCAUGGCUCAGAUUGAACGCUGGCGGCAGGCCUAACACAUGCAAGUCGAACGGGUAACAGGAAGAAGCUUGCUUCUUUGCUGACGAGUGGCGGACGGGUGAGUAAUGUCUGGGAAACUGCCUGAUGGAGGGGGAUAACUACUGGAAACGGUAGCUAAUACCGCAUAACGUCGCAAGACCAAAGAGGGGGACCUUCGGGCCUCUUGCCAUCGGAUGUGCCCAGAUGGGAUUAGCUAGUAGGUGGGGUAACGGCUACACCUAGGCGACGAUCCCUAGCUGGUCUGAGAGGAUGACCAGCCACACUGGAACUGAGACACGGUCCAGACUCCUACGGGAGGCAGCAGUGGGGAAUAUUGCACAAUGGGCGCAAGCCUGAUGCAGCCAUGCCGCGUGUAUGAAGAAGGCCUUCGGGUUGUAAAGUACUUCAGCGGGGAGGAAGGGAGUAAAGUUAAUACCUUUGCUCAUUGACGUUACCCGCAGAAGAAGCACCGGCUAACUCCGUG
rnacentral:rRNA from 1 species